UACGUAGGGGGCCAGCGUUGUCCGAAGUUACUUGGCGUAAAGAGCGCGUAGGCGGGUCUUUUAAGUGAGAGGUGAAAUUCUGAGGCUCAACCUCGGAACUGCCUUUCAUACUGGGGACCUUGAGUGCGGGAGAGGCGAGUGGAAUGGUCGGUGUAGCGGUGAAAUGCGUAGAUAUCGAUCGGAACACCCAUGGCGAAGGCAGCUCCGCUGGCCUGACAACUGACGCUGAGGCGCGA
rnacentral:rRNA from 1 species